AGCGCAUGCUGGGAUUAUAGUCCGACUGUCGCGACAAAAAGGCUGGGAGUGGAUCUGAGACUACAGUGCCAACACUACGGGGAAUUGAUGCACCUGUCAGCUUCUGAUCAGAAUGACAGACCCAGGAUCAAGCAUAACAUUUAAAUAGAUGAAGAAAACUUUUUUCCAAAAGGUCCAAUGCAGUUUGCUGGAGGUCCAAUCCAGACCCUGUUCACCUGGGUAUCACCAGUAAAGGCUGCAGAACAGCAAAGAUUUGCUGCCUUCUCCUUCCUGUGGAAACUUCAUCCCAAGAGGAUACCCGCCCAAUGCCAGCUGGAGCACUUUUGUAUGAGGUGUCUGUCCACCCCUGUUAGGAGGUUUCUCCCAGUCAGGAGUCAUGGGGAACCCACUUGAGAAGACAGUCUGCCUCUUAGCAGAGCUGGUGCACUGUGCUGGCAGAAUCCCUCUAGUCGAGAUCAGCUGCUCUCUUCAGAGCCGGGAGGCAGGAAUGAUGAAAUCCACUGAAGCUGCACCCACAGCCGCCCCUUCCCCCAUGUGCUGUGUCCCAGGGAGAUGGAGGUUUUCUGUGUAAGCCUCUAACUAGGGCUGUUACCUUUCCUUCAAAUAUGCCCUGCCCAGUGAGGAGGAAUCUAAAGAAGCAGUCUGCCACAGCCACUUUGCUGCACCUGACCCAGACCUCCCAGCCUCCUUGGCAUUGUCAGGGGAAAACUGUCUACUAAAGCCUCAGUAAUGGUGGACUCCACUCCCCGCAACCGAGCUCAAUUGACCCAGGUCAACUUCAGACUGCUGUGCUGGCAGCGAGAAUUUCAGGAUGAGGAACGCAUUAGCUCUUUGUGAUUUUCAUGUCUGUUGCAGGGAUUUGACCCAUUGUUAGUGCUAGAUUUGGAGUCUUAAAAAACAGAUUUAUCUUACUGAACUCAAAGUACAACUUGAAGAUGCACUCAGCUGUUUAGUUAAAUUGCAGCAGGAGAAAAUGUAUCUUUGCAGAUCUAUUUUAUGUCACUUUCUUUUAGAGACGAAAUUGUCUCUGGCACAGUAAUUUAACUUAGUCUAUGUCAAAAACAUAGCCUGAAAUUACUCAAAAAAAUUAUGAAUAGUGGAGUGCAUUCUAUGUGUUUUCAGAUUUCUUCUAUGAUGUAAAAUAAAUAACAUAAUGUUUUACCUUGGAUUUCUAACCUCAACCCUCAGCCAUUUUCCCAAACUUUUUUUUUUUUGAGAUGGAGUCUUGCUCUGUCUCCCAGCUGGAGUGCAGUGGUGCUAUCUCGGCUCACUGCAAGCUCCACCUCCCAUGUUCAUGCCAUUCUCCUGCCUCAGGCUCCCAAGUAGCUGGGACUACAGGCACCUGCCACCACGCCCGACUACUGUUUUGUAUUUUUAGUAGAGACGAGGUUUCACCGUAUUAUCCAGGAUGGUCUUGAUCUCCUGACUUCAUGAUUCACCCAUCUCAGCCUCCCAAAGUGCUGGGAUUACAGGCGUGAGCCACCUUGCCCUGCCCCACUUUCCCAAACUAUUAAAAGACCUUCUAAGGUGGUUCAGAAGCAUUUUUCAGAGGAGAUUGUUCCUAAUGGUAAAGGAUAAUAACAGAUGGAUAAAAAUAUCAAAUAAAUUAUGCCUCUGUUUGCAGAAGUGUCACUCUCCAGAGUCUCCAAGAUCCAGAGAAGUUCCACGAGAUAGAGUAGUUUAUGAACAUUUAGCAGAGUUGGUCCUGACUGCCGUCUCAGCCUCUUAAUAGCUGUGCAACUAUAGACAAUUUACUGGACUUAGAACAGUUAUAUAAACCUCAGCUGCAAGAAAACACAUAACACUGAUUGCAAGAAUGGCAACCACUUCUCAUUCCUCUCUGAUCUGGGCCCUCUGCAAUGUAUACUUGUGGCUGCUUCCAUAGAGGGAAAGAUUUUCUUUUCCCAAAUCUUGGAUCUGGCUGGGCUUAUUUACUCUGCCUCAUUCAUACUUUUUGUUCUAAUGAAAUAAUUAACAUGUUUAGCGUCUCAUCCCAGCUUUUAUCUUGUUAAAACUAUAUCUUAUAAUAUGUCAUCUCUCUUUACUAUAUUUGGUUAUGUUCAUUCUAUUCAUUAUUCAGCUUUACUAAUCUUUUUAUCUCUGUUUAGUGUUUCACCUAUACAUUUUCUUAAUUUUUUUAUUCUUUACAUUCUACCGAGCUGUGAUUCAAAUAUGCUAUUUUAAUAUGGAAAAUGGUGGCCUAGUUUUUCUUCAGAAAUUUCUUUUUAUUUACUUGUGUUCUUCUGUUUUUAACUUGGUUCCAAUAUUUGGGAAAUAUCACAUUUGAGAUGUCUGUAGUCAUGUUAUUUCUGUGCUUAUUCCAUUUUCCCUUGGAGGAAGGUGGACAGCACACAGACUUGACAUCCUUGUAAUCUAUCAGUAUCUGAAGGGACCACUUUUUUUCAGUUUGAUUACUUCUCUGGCUUAUUCUCUUGAUUUACUUUAGCUUUCAUCAAGUGCUUAUAUAUUUUUAAACUGUAUUCAUUAUUUUCAUGGUUCUUGUAACUUCUUGAGAACUUUUACUUGUCUACACUAAAAUAUGUAAAAAAUAUGUAGCCUUUUCUUUUUAAAGCACAAAUAUUCAGUGCACACAUGAGUAGAGUAUUUCAUAGGCAUUGGGCAGCAUACAACCACAUCUUAUGAGAUAUUCCGUUUCUUCAUUCAAAACAUCUCUCUCAAAUAUGUAGUAAUAGUCACUUGUAAAGGGUAGUUCUUUUGAUACUUAAAAUUUUGUUUCAUGUGCCUUUUUGAAAAUAUAUACUUAACUGCAGUGAACAGAACUGACCUAGAUACAAAAAGAACUACUGUUUUUGUAAAACAUUAAGUUGAUAGAAUGACUUAUCUUAUUUCAAGUCUUUUGACUCUAGUCACUGUGCUUCCUUUUAGUAUGUCCUUGACCUCACAAAAAUAAUUCGUGGAAUCUUCUAUUUAUUUUAUAAAUGAAUUUAAAGAAACAAAAUUUGUGCAUGGCUAAAUAUUACUUGUUGAGUACAAUUUAGAAUUUCUACUGUCAUUUUAGUGUCCUAAAAGAUAUGACCUGUUGAAUUUCUGCUGUCAUAAAAUGAAUGAUAUCGUUAGGCCUAAACCCUUGCCAUUUAUUUUCGCCCUCUGUCAUACAGUGUGUAUCUUUGGUUCACUGCUGAAAAAUUUUAUUAAUUUUUCUCUCUUGCUAGUAAUCAAACUUUUGAAUAAAGUUAUCAUUACUUGUCUUUAUUUAGUUACUGUAUGUUAAACAUUUGAUUUCUGAUGGUCUUAAUGUCAUUUAAUAUAAUUGUAAAUAUUUCAAUUUGUCAUUAUUAACGAAUUUCUGUAUUAUAUAUUUUAGACUCAGCUAUUAAUUAUAUGUGUGUAAAUGACUGUGAAUAGUUUCUAAAACAUUGUAGGGGCUACUAAGUACUAAUAACCCUGAUUCAUUAAAAUUUUAUUCGUUAUACUAUUCUUUAUUUACUAAAUUAUUUUGUAAUCUUAUUUAAAUUUAUUCUUUUCUAAAUAUUUGUGAAAAAGGGGGUAGGCUAAUGUGUCAUUUUGAUAAAACUUCAUGUCAAAUGA